UACGUAGGGGGCAAGCGUUGUCCGGAUUUAUUGGGCGUAAAGAGCGUGUAGGCGGCUAGUAAGGUCGGUGGUGAAAACUCGAGGCUCAACCUCGAGACGCCGGUGGAAACCAUCUAGCUAGAGUCCGGAAGAGGAGAGUGGAAUUCCUGGUGUAGCGGUGAAAUGCGCAGAUAUCAGGAAGAACACCCGUGGCGAAGGCGGCUCUCUGGGACGUGACUGACGCUGAGACGCGAAAGCGUGGGGAGCGAACAGG
rnacentral:rRNA from 1 species